AAAAAAAAAAAAAAAAAAACACAGCUGUUUAAGGCCAAGGGCGUUUAUAAGCGAUCAUGACCCAGGGUGCCACUAGCUGUUGCAAGGCCCUUGACAUGGGGAAAGCAGGCUGUCUUGUUCACACUGAUUUCCCUAAGGCUCACUCCAGUUGGUUAGGGACCUGUUCUGUCCUUUGGCGUCCUCCAGGCCUGACUGGCAGUAACUAUUUGGGCCCUAUUUGGAUUCGAUGCCUCUGCGCACCAGCAGACAACGCUGGCAGCUCAGGCUCUGCAGGGCCCCGGCUCGAGCGGCGAGGCUUCCGGACCGGCGCCCCGGGCUGGGCGGGGU
rnacentral:lncRNA from 1 species